rnacentral:rRNA from 1 species
UACGGAGGGUGCAAGCGUUAUCCGGAUUCACUGGGUUUAAAGGGUGCGUAGGUGGGCAGGUAAGUCAGUGGUGAAAUCUCCGGGCUUAACCCGGAACUGCCGUUGAUACUAUUUGUCUUGAAUAUUGUGGAGGUAAGCGGAAUAUGUCAUGUAGCGUGAAAUGCUUAGAUAUGACAUAGAACACCAAUUGCGAAGACAGCUUACUACAACAACGAUUGACGCUGAGGCACGAAAGCGUGGGGAUCAAACAGGA